AUGAACGCUGGCGGCGUGCCUAAUACAUGCAAGUCGAGCGAACAGACGAGGAGCUUGCUCCUCUGACGUUAGCGGCGGACGGGUGAGUAACACGUGGAUAACCUACCUAUAAGACUGGGAUAACUUCGGGAAACCGGAGCUAAUACCGGAUAAUAUAUUGAACCGCAUGGUUCAAUAGUGAAAGACGGUUUUGCUGUCACUUAUAGAUGGAUCCGCGCCGCAUUAGCUAGUUGGUAAGGUAACGGCUUACCAAGGCGACGAUGCGUAGCCGACCUGAGAGGGUGCUCGGCCACACUGGAACUGAGACACGGUCCAGACUCCUACGGGAGGCAGCAGUAGGGAAUCUUCCGCAAUGGGCGAAAGCUUGACGGAGCAACGCCGCGUGAGUGAUGAAGGUCUUCGGAUCGUAAAACUCUGUUAUUAGGGAAGAACAAAUGUGUAAGUAACUAUGCACGUCUUGACGGUACCUAAUCAGAAAGCCACGGCUAACUACGUG
rnacentral:rRNA from 1 species